GGGGAUUUAGCUCAGAGGCAUAAGCAUCUGCCUGGCAAGCAUAAGGUUUUGAGUUCAAUCCCCA
rnacentral:tRNA from 1 species